rnacentral:rRNA from 1 species
GAUGAACGCUAGCGGCAGGCUUAACACAUGCAAGUCGAGGGGUAUAGGUUUUCGGACCUAGAGACCGGCGCACGGGUGCGUAACACGUAUGCAACCUACCUUACAUUGGGGGAUAGCCUUUCGAAAGGGAGAUUAAUACCGCAUAAGACAGUAGCUGGGCAUCCAGCAGCUGUUAAAGAUUUAUCGAUGUAAGCUGGGCAUGCGUCCAAUUAGCUAGUUGGUGAGGUAACGGCUCACCAAGGCGAUGAUUGGUAGGGGAACUGAGAGGUCAAUCCCCCACACUGGCACUGAGAUACGGGCCAGACGCCUACGGGAGGCAGCAGUAGGGAAUAUUGGGCAAUGGACGCAAGUCUGACCCAGCCAUGCCGCGUGCAGGAUGAAGGCGUUAUGCGUUGUAAACUGCUUUUAUACAGGAAGAAACGACUCUUGCGAGAGGCAUUGACGGUACUGUAUGAAUAAGCACCGGCUAACUCCGUGCCAGCCGCCGCCGUAAUAC